AGCGCUCAAGGGAGGGCUUCCGAGCCUCGAUGGCUGGAGCCUC
rnacentral:ribozyme from 1 species